rnacentral:rRNA from 1 species
UACGUAGGGCGCAAGCGUUGUCCGGAAUUAUUGGGCGUAAAGAGCUCGUAGGCGGUUUGUCGCGUCUGUCGUGAAAGCCCGGGGCUUAACCCCGGGUCUGCAUUCGAUACGGGCAGGCUAGAGUUCGGUAGGGGAGAUCGGAAUUCCUGGUGUAGCGGUGAAAUGCGCAGAUAUCAGGAGGAACACCGGUGGCGAAGGCGGAUCUCUGGGCCGAUACUGACGCUGAGGAGCGAAAGCGUGGGGAGCGAACAGG